rnacentral:rRNA from 1 species
GACAGAGGUGCCAAGCGUUAGGCGGAAUCACUGGGCUUAAAGCGUGUGUAGGCGGAGUGCUAAGUACCUUGUGAAAUCCCACGGCUCAACCGUGGAACUGCUGGGUAUACUGGUUCUCUUGAGCGACCCAGGGGCGAGCGGAACAAACGGUGGAGCGGUGAAAUGCGUAGAUAUAGGGAAGAACACCAAUCAGGCGAAGGCAGUUAACUCUUCUAUUCCUGACAUUGAGGCAUGAAAGCGUGGGGAGCAAAACGG